AAUCAACGCCGGCGGCGUGCCUAACACAUGCAAGUCGCACGAGAAAGGGACUUCGGUCCUGAGUACAGUGGCGCACGGGUGAGUAACACGUGAAUAAUCUACCUCCGAGUGGGGAAUAACUGAGAGAAAUCUUAGCUAAUACCGCAUAACACUUACGAGUCAAAGCAGCAAUGCGCUUGGAGAGGAGUUCGCGGCAGAUUAGUUAGUUGGCAGGGUAAUGGCCACCAAGACGAUGAUCUGUAUCCGGCCUGAGAGGGCGCACGGACACACUGGAACUGAAACACGGUCCAGACUCCUACGGGAGGCAGCAGUGGGGAAUUUUGGACAAUGGACGAAAGUCUGAUCCAGCCAUGCCGCGUGCGGG
rnacentral:rRNA from 1 species